CUUAAUUUGGUAGACACUAUUUUUGAGUUGCUCUUUUCCCCACUUAACAUAAUUUUGCAUGCAUAUUUCUAUGUAUUGGUCUAGAUUGUCUAAUUUUAGUGGUUACAUAGUAUUUCUUGCUGAAUUAAGGCGUGUCAUGUGCUGGGGUGUAGUAGGCACUUGUAAGAUGUUUGUUUCCAGGUUCAGUAAAACCCAGAGUUGAAAAGGCGCUGUUUUCUGCAGAAGUUCUGCUGGUGGGAACUGUGGUUCUGGGAGGCUCUGGGAAAGCCUGGCAUGGGUGAUGUCCUCGUGCCUGCCUGCCAGGUGACACCCAGCCUCUGUAGCUGGCGACCUGCUAGGUGGUGCUGGGAGAUGUCAGCGCUGAAGGGCUGUGUUUGCAGCCAGGUGUGAGAUUCCUUGUCACAAGGCUGCUGUCACCAUGAAGGGACAGAUGUGACUGGGUGAUGAGGCCUUCUCGGUUUGGUGCCAGGGUUUGCAGGCAGAACUAGUUCAGAGAUGAGUAAGAAGGGGGCACUUUCUGUUUGUAGAUUCAAGCUCAAAUGUGCAUAUUGAAACUCUUCCUCACUUUCCCUCUUCUAGUCGAUGGGCCUUGAGGCAUCCUUAUCUCAUUUGUGGAAAGACAGAAGAGGAGGUGGAGGGAACACCUUUGUAUGAACGAACCAGCUUACAGAGAGGAGUUGGGGAUGGGCUGAAGGAGAGCUGAGUUCCUCUGGGAUGAAUGGUGCAUGUUGGGAAGGUUCAAAAAGAUGAUCUUAACAGGCUGCUUGACUUGAGGCAACAUCCGAAGCCACCAGAAGAGCAGAAUGGCUGCCAGACGAGCAGGGCAUCCUGGGCAGUGGUAACUGAAGGAAGAAAACUUGCAGAGGGAGGAAGGAGUCCAGAGGAGGAGGAGAUGGGUAUGAAGAGGGGUUGGGAAGCCAGAUCACACACAGCGGCUGCUCGAGAGAAUGGGAAAUGUUUCACGUGCUUGGACAUUUAACAAGCAUGUGAAGAGCAGAGUUGUUCCAUGUGGUUCCAGAAGGUAAAGCUAGAAUGGAAAGGUGGAAACUACAGGAGGAGGUAUUUGGUCUUGGUAUAUAUAUCAGUGUUUCUCAAGCUGCAGUUGGCAUUCCA
ensembl:lncRNA